rnacentral:rRNA from 1 species
UACGUGGGCAGCGAGCGUUGUUCGGAAUUACUGGGCGUAAAGAGUGUGUAGGCGGUGUUCCCAGUCUGUUGUGAAAUCUCCCGGCUUAACUGGGAGGGUGCAGCGGAAACUAGAAUGCUAGAGGGUGGGAGAGGUAAGCGGAAUUCCUGGUGUAGCGGUGAAAUGCGUAGAUAUCAGGAGGAACACCUGUGGUGUAGACAGCUUACUGGACCACUUCUGACGCUGAGACACGAAAGCGUGGGUAGCAAACAGG